GAGCAACAGAAACUAGUUCAAACGAACUGUAAUGUCUCUACUGACUUGAGCGUCGGAGUGUCUUCAGGUACACACCCCUCCGCCGUUCCAGUACUCAACUGACGCAUUUCCACCACCUUCAACUACCGCAUUAAAGAAGCAUCGACAGUCACCUUCUGAUCAGAUACGAUCAAUAUUAAUAUAUUCUUCCUGUAUGAAAAUUAAUACCAUCUUACUUUCACCGUCCAUGUAUGUAACAGCCCGAUUUUUAGCUAGUUUUAUUUUAAUUACUUUUAUUAUGUGAUUGUGUGUGAUUAAUUGUUAUUGUGUGUAUUUUAUUGUCAUCGGUUGCAUUAAAUGGAUUACCGUAUUAGAAGUGUAUUUUGGUCAUUUGGCGGGUAAGGGUAAAAUGUUAAUUUUGGUGAGAAUCAUUUUAUUAAUUAGUGAGAACCCUUAUUUUACUAAGUUACUAGUGUGGUGAUUAGUUUUUACCGUUAGUGACCGUUGGUUACAUUUUACCGUUAUUAAUUAAAAUAUCGUUUGGAGUGUAGUAAUAUUUUUGGUUUGAAUAGAAAUGGGUUAAGCCCACUAGAAACUAAGUUAAGCCCAUUAGUGGAGAUAACGCUAGGGUUGUGUUAGAAGAACCAAUUCAUUUCAUUUCACAAAACAUUUCUAGAGAGAGAAAGUGGGAAGAGAAGAUAAGGGUUUGGAGAGAAGAACUUGAAGAAUCCAAUUGGGUAAGCUUAGGAGCUAAAUUGAAGCCUAGGUUUGGUCUAAUCUUCAUCUAAGGUAAGGGGGUUAGUCUUUAUCAUAAUCAUGUUCAUUCUUUGCAAUUUUUCAUGAUUUGUAUGAAAUGGGUUGAAAUGAAUGAAUGGAUAAUUGUUGCUAAAUUCGUGCUCCAACUUUGAUGAUAUGUUUGUAUGCAUGAAUUGAUAAUAAUUGUAUGAUUGUUGGUUAAAUUACAUGUUUAAAUAUGUGAAAAUGAAAAGUUAUGAAAAUUGUGCAAAAUGGAUGAAUUUGACAUGUUGUAGUUGAAUUGAGCUAUGAUUCUUGUGCAAUUGAUGUUGUUGAUGCUAAUAGAUGUUGUAGUUGAUGAAUCAUUGCUUGGGUAUACAUAUUCAUGGAUUGAUGAUGAGAAUUUGAAUUGUUGUUGGUGUUUUGGUGAAAUUUGUGAAUUGAUGAAAUAUGAUAAGUUGUUGUUGAAUUAUGAUGGAGUGUAUGAUUAUAUGUUAUGAUUGUGGUUGAUUGUUGAUGUUGAUCUCAUUUCAUGACUUGGGUAUGAUUUAUGUUGAGAUGUUGUUGUGAAUUGUGUUGAAUUUGAAGAGAUGAAUUGUGGUUGUUUGAAAACUUAUUGUUUUGAGAAAAAUUAUUUUAAAAUAAUUUCAUAACUUGUACAAAUGCCACGAAACGAGCGAGUUCGAUGUGUUAGAGCCUCGGGUUAUGCCUCGGAUCACUUUUGAUGAUUGAGGAUUUUAAACAUUCUAUUUUUUAUCGAAAUUGGCGAAAACCCGCGGCCGAAACACGCGAAAACUCGCGUUUACGGAGCACUGCGCCUGUAGUGGAGCGUUGGGCGCCCACUUACAGGGAGCCAUCGCUGGGCGCUGCACCUCUAGCGCCAGGCGCCCAUGACAGGACAACGGGAACGUUGUUCCGUGUCCGGGUGCUUGGGGGUGGUCGUGCAGGGUUCCUAGGCGAUCGUUUUGAAGUGUUCUUUUGCUGUUUUCACCUACUUUUCUACUGUAACACAUUUGGCUUUGUCUGAACUUUAAUUUUCUAAAUGGUUUGAAACGUGAGUUUGUGUCGUUUCGGUUUUCCGGAAAUUGUUGGAACUUGGUCUUUGUGAACAAAAGGAGUUGCAAGCUUAGUCUACAGUUCUUAUGGGCUUAGGCAAUUCUUGUAAGGUUGGUACAAUGUCUUAAUCAUGUCAAACUUGAUUUUCGGGUGGGAUUGUGGAAUGUAUAAACUUGGGAUUUUCAUAUACGAACUUAGGCUAAUCUUUGAACUAAUGAUUGAUAGUUCGUAGGUGGCCUAUGCUCAUACUUAUAUGAUUGAUUAAGAUUGAAUUGUAGGAUUUCAAACUUGAAUAAGUUGCCUAGCUUUGAAAAUUAUCAAUGUUGGCCAUUUGCCACAUGAUUUGGAUUUUUGUCGGAAAUGUUUUGAGCCAAUUGUCUUGUGAGUUAUGGUGACCGUUCUUGUAUGACUACGUGAAGUUGUAUGAAUGAAUUAUUGUAUUUUGGAUAUGAUUUUUAUCAUGAGAUAUGUAUGCUAUCUUACUUAGAAUGUAAGGAAUACUUGAAUGGUGAAACUAUAUGUGAUAGUUGAUGGUGAAUGGUUAUAUGUUAGAUAUGAUAUUUGUCAUAAGAUGUUGUAUGUUCUCUUACUUGGAAUAUGAGAAUUGUUUGGAAUGGUGAAACUAUAUGAUAUAGUUGAUGUUGAAUGACAUUGUUGAUUAUUGAUAAUCAUGUUGAUGUGAUGAUGAUGAAUGCUAUGAUUUAUUUGUAUGGGCAUGUUUUCUUGAUAAUGCAAAUGUUGUGGAGAUGAACAAUAUAAUUGGGUGUUGUCCUAUAUAUUGUGGAGAAAAUUGUGAUUGUUGUCGCAUUAUCGAGUCCUUGUAUAUGUCCAUGCAUCAUAGUCGUGUUGAGAUACGAUGUUUUAUUCGUUAUAGGGAUUCGGUCUGGCAGAGAUCUUUUGAGAUUUAGUUUUGGACUUCGGUCUAGCAGAGAUCUUUUGAGAUCUGGAUACGAUGUUUUAUUCGUUAUAGGGCUUCGGCCUGGCAGAGAUCUUUUGAGAUCUGGAUUUGGAGGUGACGACCUUUUGGAGAUUUGGUACCACAUGCAUUUAUGUGUCAAUAAGUGCAUAUCAUGACAUGAGUCAGAUUUGAAAAUGUGAUUGAUGAUUGUCCAUGAAAUGUGAUUAAUGAAUGUUCAUGGAAUAUGAUUGGUGAUUGUUCAUGAAAUGUGAUUAACGAUUGUUCAUGAAAUGUGAUUAAUGAUUGUUCAUGAUGUAUAUGAUUGGUGAUUGUGUAUGAAUAACUGUGAAUUGAUAUUUGUUCAUGACACAUGUGAUUGAUGAUUAUUAAUUUGAGAUAUUGGGAUUUGAUGUAAGUAUUGAUAUGAGAAUAUUAUUAUUGAUCAAGUGCAUGAUGUUUAAAUUGAAAUAUUCAUGUUAACUAUUAUUUGGAUUAUGAUAAUGUAAUACUUACCCCCAGUGGAUCUGUUAUGGACCGUCUGCCUAUCUGUAUGGAUGGGUAGACGUUGUGUAGGUUUAGUUGCUUGGUGAGUUCUUGUGCUUGGUGGAUAUCUGGAGCUUUCUCCGAUAUCGUUGUUUAGAAUUAGUCGGCUCUGAUCUAGGCUUCGUUGUGUCGGUCUAGAUUAGUUUAUUUUGGAUUCUGUUAUGUUUGGAGUUUACCCGUUUGUUGGGAUUUUGAGAUGCAUCUAUGUUGAUGUAAUUUAUUGAUUCGUAACAUGUAUAUUUGAAUUUACUCUAGUUUAUAUUCCGCUGCGAGUUGAGGUUUAUAUACAUGUUUAUUGGUUUUUGAAUUUUGAAUGUUGCGUAGCCUCUUUUUCUUGAAUAUAUGUAUUAUUCGCAUGUUUAAUUGCUUUAAUAGAAGUAGGGCGUUACAAUGUAGCUUCAACCAAGGUUGUCAAAAUCGGAUUUUAC
rnacentral:lncRNA from 1 species